AAUUUCAAGGAUGUCUUGUUAUAAACUUGUUAUAUUUUUCUGGUUAUUUCCCAUGUCUCGUAAGUCCCUAUUGCAUGCAGGCUGUUGAUUUCUCACCUACUAUCUUCCACUUUUAGGGCAACCAAUUGGACUGUAUAGUUCAAGUCAGACGCUCCAUAUAGUAACGAAGAGAUCAAUGCAAUACGGGAUGAGUGGGUUGAAUUUGUGAAGCCUUUGAUUAUGGAUUUAGUGCAAGGUUACUAUUUUUGUUAUAAUACAUGAGUAACAAGUUUUAUGAUUAUUGUUAUAUGUUGCAUAUGUAAUUAGUUUAUAUGUAGUUUACGAUAUACAUGAAAUUUAAGUUUUAGGAUCGAUUCUAUUAACAAUUUUGGUAUUGUGUGAUUAAUUGAUAAAAUCGAUUACUAAUUUUAUGUGAGUUUUAAAAAUGUUAUUUUAAUUUGUUUUGUAUUAUGUAUUUACUAUUAUAUAGAGUUAUUUUAAAAUUUGAUAA